GAUGAACGCUAGCGGCAGGCCUAACACAUGCAAGUCGAGGGGCAUCAUGGCGUAGCAAUACGCUGAUGGCGACCGGCGCACGGGUGCGUAACGCGUAUGGAACCUACCCACCGCAGGGGGAUAACCCGCCGAAAGGCGGACUAAUACCCCAUGGUUCCCCGACCCUGCCUGGGGUUGGGGGUAAAGCCUACGGGCGGCGGUGGAUGGCCCUGCGUGCCAUUAGCUGGCUGGUGGGGUAACGGCCCACCAGGGCGACGAUGGCUAGGGGGUCUGAGAGGACGAUCCCCCACACUGGUACUGAGACACGGACCAGACUCCUACGGGAGGCAGCAGUGAGGAAUAUUGGUCAAUGGGCGAAAGCCUGAUCCAGCCAUGCCGCGUGCAGGAUGAAGGCCUUCGGGUUGUAAACUGCUUUUGUACGGAACGAAAGACUCCUUCUAAUAAAGGGGGUUCAUGACGGUACCGUAAGAAUAAGCACCGGCUAACUACGUG
rnacentral:rRNA from 1 species